AUGGCCGCCCUGAAGCCCUCGCCGCCGCCGGUGCCGGCGGGGAUCGUCGUCGCGGUGCUCGCGCUCGUGCGCGUCGUCCUCACCCUGACGCUGUCGCUCGGCCGCGUCCUCGUCGCGGACGAAGCGCUCCCCUACCUGGGCUUCGCGACUCUGUGGGUCAUCUCCGCGGCCGCGGCUACCAAGGUCGUGGGGAGCCGGGCCUGGGCCGAGGGCUCCGCCCCCGCCGUGUUUCUCCAGGCGCUCACGGGCGGGGUUCUCAAGGCCAGCUUCCUUGUCUUGCAAGCGCUUGGCGCCGUGAUGCUGUGCGGCCAGUUCCUGCUCUACGUGGUCGCAUCUGCAUCUGGAUCCGGUUCAGAGUUCCAGAAGAGAGCCCAUGGAGCUUUCAACAAGGAGUUGAUUAGGGGGGAUCCUCCCCGCACUGCAGUCCUUGGAACGUUCGCAUCUACACUCCUCAUCCUGCUAAUUUUAGCUGGUUCUCUGGUGGAAUGCAUGAUGUCGAAAAAGAUUGGUUCUGUGAUUGUGGAUGUGGGGAUAUUUGGUUCCAGUGCGAUAGCUUGCUUUGUUGUCAUUCCAGCUGUAGUACUGACUAACUGGAGGGAGGACCAGAUGUCAAAGAAAAACAUGACUCACGUCGCAAACUAUUGA
rnacentral:rRNA from 1 species